rnacentral:lncRNA from 12 species
CUCUGUGAGUGUGGUCACUGUGCAGGGGAUAAAGAGCGGUGCUCCAAAGGCGACCAAUACAGUCCACCCCCGUUACCACUCAGAUCUGCUCAUGUGCUCUCUCCCCUAAAUCUGAUCUAACACAAGGCCUCCUUCAGAGUUGUGGCCAACCACACUCUCCUCAAAGACGUGAUGAAGUAAGGUGCUUUCUUAAUGGCUGUGGGUCACCCAACCAGGAAUUUGGUGUACUUAAUUUGCCGCAUGCCUUCCUUCUCAGGAGGCCUGGCUUCAUAAUCCACAGGACCAUGAGCUCCCUGGAGCAUAUAGCUUCAACAUUUCCAGAAUUUUGACCUCUGUCUGGUAGUGAGGUCUCCUCCACCCCUUGCACCAUCGCUAGCUUCUCUC